rnacentral:lncRNA from 1 species
AGCCGCACUCGAUAAAAACCUCAGACUGCUAACACAAAGGUUCCUGGUUCGAUUCCCGUUCCAGGAUGAAAAUUGCAGGGACUGAAUUUUCGGCACUCCCUUGACACCAUUUGCGAGUAUGGUCUCAAGGAAACGAUGAUAGUCGGUCGGAAGGGGACGAUAAAUGGCUGACCCGUGUUAAGAGAGAGCCAUAUCUCUUGCACGUAAAAGACACCCUUGUAGAUUUCGAAAAA